UUCCUCCUGCAUUGUUAAGCAAACAAAAUACACAAUUUGUUUUCAGCUAUCUUCUCAUUGAACUCAACAUCACCGCAGCCAACCAAAAGCACAAACAUUCAAGGUUAAGGCGAGAGUAAGAGCCAGUUAAGAAGUCAUUGAGCUAUAGCAAAGUUUGGUAAUCAGAUUGAGCAGUUGCCGAUGGUGAUGAAGUGACGAGCGGGAUUAUUUUGUCUUAUUAUGUAUUAAUGAACUCUAGGGUUACAUGUCUUCAUACAUGUAAUCAGAACCUUAUUCCGCUG